CAACCGGGAUUGCCUCAGUAACGGCGAGUGAAGCGGCAAGAGCUCAAAUUUGAAAGCUGGCUCCUUCGGAGUCCGCAUUGUAAUUUGCAGAGGAUGCUUUGGGUGCGGCCCCCGUCUAAGUGCCCUGGAACGGGCCGUCAGAGAGGGUGAGAAUCCCGUCUUGGGCGGGGUGUCCGUGCCCGUGUAAAGCUCCUUCGACGAGUCGAGUUGUUUGGGAAUGCAGCUCUAAAUGGGUGGUAAAUUUCAUCUAAAGCUAAAUACUGGCCGGAGACCGAUAGCGCACAAGUAGAGUGAUCGAAAGAUGAAAAGCACUUUGAAAAGAGAGUUAAACAGCACGUGAAAUUGUUGAAAGGGAAGCGCUUGCGACCAGACUCGCCCGCGGGGUUCAGCCGGCAUUCGUGCCGGUGUACUUCCCCGUGGGCGGGCCAGCGUCGGUUUGGGCGGCCGGUCAAAGGCCCCUGGAAUGUAGUGCCCUCCGGGGC
rnacentral:rRNA from 1 species